GCAUGGAUAGCUCAGUGGCAGAGCGUUGGGGCGAUAACCCAUGCGGCCCGGGUUUAAACCCCGGUCCAUACA